rnacentral:tRNA from 1 species
GCCUCGGUGGUGGAAUUGGUAGACACGCCGGACUUAAAAUCCUGUGACCUGAAGGGUCGUGCCGGUUCGAUUCCGGCCCGAGGUA